UACGUAGGAGGCGAGCGUUGUCCGGAAUUACUGGGCGUAAAGGGCGCGCAGGCGGCGCGAGAAGUCAGGCGUGAAAGCCCCGGGCUCAACCUGGGAAUUGCGCUUGAUACUCUUGUGCUGGAGUUCGGGAGAGGAGAGUGGAAUUCCCAGUGUAGAGGUGAAAUUCGUAGAUAUUGGGAAGAACACCGGUGGCGAAGGCGGCUCUCUGGACCGAGACUGACGCUGAGGCGCGAAAGCGUGGGGAGCAAACAGG
rnacentral:rRNA from 1 species